rnacentral:rRNA from 1 species
CGUAGUCCGGAUUGGAGUCUGCAACUCGACUCCAUGAAGUCGGAAUCGCUAGUAAUCGCAAAUCAGAAUGUUGCGGUGAAUACGUUCCCGGGCCUUGUACACACCGCCCGUCACACCAUGGGAGUGGGUUGCACCAGAAGUAGAUAGCUUAACCUUCGGGAGGGCGUUUACCACGGUGUGAUUCAUGACUGGGGUGAAGUCGUAACAAGGUAACCCUAGGGGAACCUGGGGUUGGAUCACCUCCUUA